GUCUGGGGCAGCCCAGCAGCGGCUGACCCUCUGCCUGCCGGGAAGGGAGUCGCGAGGCGGCCGUCAUGGCGGUGUCGGAGAGCCAGCUCAAGAAAAUGGUGUCGAAGCCACAGUCAGACUUGUUGGGGCUUAUUCAGGUCAUGAUUGUGGUAUUUGGAGAUGAACCUCCAGUCUUCUCUCGUCCUGUUUCGGCAUCCUAUCCGCCAUACCAGGCAACGGGGCCACCAAAUACUUCCUACAUGCCAGGCAUGCCAGGUGGAAUCUCUCCAUACCCAUCCGGAUACCCUCCCAAUCCCAGUGGUUACCCAGGCUGUCCUUACCCACCUGGUGGUCCAUAUCCUGCCACAACAAGUUCUCAGUACCCUUCCCAGCCUCCUGUGACCACUGUUGG
rnacentral:sRNA from 1 species